rnacentral:rRNA from 1 species
UACCCGCGCCCCUAGUGGUGGUCGAUAUUAUUGAGCCUAAAACGUCCGUAGCCGGUCUUCUAAAUCCUUGGGUAAAUCGGGCAGCUUAACUGUCCGAAGUCCGGGGAGACUGGGAGACUUGGGACCGGGAGAGGUCAGAGGUACUUCUGGGGUAGGGGUGAAAUCCUGUAAUGCUGGAAGGAGCACCGGUGGCGAAGGCGUCUGACUAGAACGGAUCCGACGGGGAGGGACGAAGCCCUGGGGCGCAAACGGG